rnacentral:rRNA from 1 species
AGAGCGAACGCUGGCGGCAGGCCUAACACAUGCAAGUCGAGCGCCCGUAGCAAUACGGGAGCGGCAGACGGGAUAGUAACACGUGGGAACGCGCCCUUCGGUUCGGAAUAACUCAGGGAAACUUGAGCUAAUACCGGAUACGCCCUUACGGGGAAAGAUUUAUUGCCGAAGGAACGGCCCGCGUCCGAUUAGCUAGUUGGUGAGGUAAUGGCUCACCAAGGCGACGAUCGGUAGCUGGUCUGAGAGGAUGACCAGCAUCACUGGGACUGAGACACGGCCCAGACUCCUACGGGAGGCAGCAGUGGGGAAUAUUGGACAAUGGGCGCAAGCCUGAUCCAGCCAUGCCGCGUGGAUGAUGAAGGCCUUAGGGUUGUAAAGUCCUUUUAACGGGGAAGAUAAUGACGGUACCCGUAGAGUAAGCCCCGGCUAACUUCGUGCCAGCAGCCGC